UACGUAGGGGGCUAGCGUUGUCCGGAAUCAUUGGGCGUAAAGAGCGUGUAGGCGGUCCGGUAAGUCCGCUGUGAAAGUCGGGGGCUCAACCCUCGAAUGCCGGUGGAUACUGUCGGGCUAGAGUGCGGAAGAGGCGAGUGGAAUUCCCGGUGUAGCGGUGAAAUGCGCAGAUAUCGGGAGGAACACCAAUGGCGAAGGCAGCUCGCUGGGACGGUACUGACGCUGAGGCGCGAAAGCGUGGGGAGCAAACAGG
rnacentral:rRNA from 1 species